rnacentral:rRNA from 1 species
GACGAACGCUGGCGGCGUGCUUAACACAUGCAAGUCGAACGGAAAGACCCUGCGUUUGUGGGGUGCUCGAGAGGCAAACGGGUGAGUAAAACGUGAGUAACCUGCCCUUGACUGUGGGAUAAAUUCAGGAAACUGGGGCUAAAACCGGAUAGGAGAUCUUGCAGCAUGGGGGGGGUUGGAGAGUGACGGCGGUUGGGGAUGGACUAGCGGCUUAUGAGCUUGUUGGUGGGGUAGGGGCUGACCAAGGCUAUGACGGGUAGCCGGCCUUGGAGCGUGACCGGCCUCAUUGGGCCUGCGAUACGGCCCAGACUCCUACGGUAGGCAGCAGUGGGGAAUAUUGCACAAUGGGCCGAAGCCUGAUGUAGCAACGCCGCGUUCGUGAUGCCGGCUUUCUGGUUGUAAACCGCUUUCGCCUGUGCCGAAGCGUGAUUGACGGUACCGGGUAAAGAAGCCCCGGCUAACUACGUG